rnacentral:rRNA from 1 species
CGGGGUGGAGUAAGCGUGGGUAACCUGCUUGUACAGGGGAGAACAGUUGGAAACGGCUGCUAAUACCGCAUAAGCGCACGGCAUCGCAUGAUGCAGUGUGAAAAACUCCGGUGGUAUAAGAUGGACCCGCGUUGGAUUAGCUAGUUGGUGAGGUAACGGCCCACCAAGGCGACGAUCCAUAGCCGACCUGAGAGGGUGACCGGCCACAUUGGGACUGAGACACGGCCCAA